rnacentral:miRNA from 1 species
UGUUUGUAUAGUGUGUGUAUAUAAUGCAGUGUGUUUGUGUAGUGUGCAUUAUAUAAACACACUACACAAACACACUGCAUUAUAUACACACACUACACACAC